rnacentral:rRNA from 1 species
GAUGAACGCUAGCGGCAGGCCUAAUACAUGCAAGUCGGACGGGAUCCAUCGGAGAGCUUGCUCGAAGAUGGUGAGAGUGGCGCACGGGUGCGUAACGCGUGAGCAACCUACCUCUACCAGGGGGAUAGCCUCUCGAAAGAGAGAUUAACACCGCAUAAUAUAAUCUUCCGGCAUCGUUAGAUUAUUAAAUAUUGAUAGGAUAGAGAUGGGCUCGCGUGACAUUAGCUAGUUGGUAAGGUAACGGAUUACCAAGGCGACGAUGUCUAGGGGCUCUGAGAGGAGAAUCCCCCACACUGGUACUGAGACACGGACCAGACUCCUACGGGAGGCAGCAGUAAGGAAUAUUGGUCAAUGGGCGGAAGCCUGAACCGGCCAUGCCGCGUGCAGGACGACUGCCCUAUGGGUUGUAAACUGCUUUUGUCCAGGAAUAAACCUAAAUACGUGUAUUUAGCUGAAUGUACUGGAAGAAUAAGGAUCGGCUAACUCCGUGCCAGCAGCCGCAGUAAAAC